UACGUAGGGUCCGAGCGUUGUCCGGAGUUACUGGGCGUAAAGAGCUCGUAGGUGGUUUGUCGCGUUGUUCGUGAAAACUCACAGCUCAACUGUGGGCGUGCGGGCGAUACGGGCAGACUAGAGUACUGCAGGGGAGACUGGAAUUCCUGGUGUAGCGGUGGAAUGCGCAGAUAUCAGGAGGAACACCGGUGGCGAAGGCGGGUCUCUGGGCAGUAACUGACGCUGAGGAGCGAAAGCGUGGGGAGCGAACAGG
rnacentral:rRNA from 1 species